AGUGAAAAGGCAAUGUUAUAAGACAGACAUGUUUUUUUUUUUUUUUUUUUUUGUUUUUUUUUUUAAAUUAAAAAAAGUUUAACCUUUAUUUAACUAGGCAAGUCAGUUAAGAACAUAUUCUUAUUUUCAAUGACGGCCUAGGAACAGUGGGUUAACAGCCUUGUUCAGGGGCAGAACGACAGAUUUGUACCUUGUCAGCUCGGGGGUUUGAACUCGCAACCUUCGGGUUACUAGUCCAACGCUCUAACCACUAGGCGACGCUAUAUAAACAUGUUAUAGACGUUAUAGAUAUGUUCUGAACGUUAUAGACAGGCUAUAUAAAUUAUAGACAUGUUAUAGGCACUAUAUACAUCUUAUAGACAUAGACAUGUUAUAAGCAUUUAUAGACAUGUUAUAGCCACUACAUACAUCUUAUAGACAUAGACAUGUUAUAAGCAUUUAUAGACAUGUUAUAGGCACUACAUACAUCUUAUAGACAUGUUAUAAGAAUUUAUAGACAUGUUAUAAGCAUUAUAGAUCUGUAAAUCUGUCACACUGAGACAAUACUAUACCAUGUACAGUAUAUGGUACAGCUAUAAAUGAAUGUUGUCCGUCAGAGGUAAAACUAUCAUCUAACGCUUCAUUCUUUAAUUGUCUUAAUCAAAUUGUUCUUUGGGUACAGUCAAGUGAAUCAUGUCAUUGAUUGAGUAGAGUGUAUUUUGCUGUUCUCUGAUGCUUCUCACGCGUCUGUCCUCCAGUGUACAAGGCCAAGGUCCUGAGUGUCAGCCAGAGUCAGUACGACAGAUAUGAGAUGAAGAUCACACAGGUUAUAAAAAUAGGAGUGGAGGAGGGGGUCAGUGUGGGUGACACUAAGGUCUUCCGUCCCAUGCUGGCUGUAGAGGAGGUCUGGACCUGAAGGAAGGGUACAACCUACCUCCUCACGGGGCCAAAAACUGACCUCUGGUACAAGGACAGCUCCCACCAACAGGUGGGGAGAGGCAGUGACAUGUUAUAAAUUUACUUAUAGUACUGACAAGAGAA
rnacentral:lncRNA from 1 species